UGAUCAUGGCUCAGGACGAACGCUGGCGGCACGCCUAACACAUGCAAGUCGAACGGAGAUAUUUUGGUUUACUGAGAUAUMUUAGUGGCGGACGGGUGAGUAACACGUGAGCAACCUGCCUYUGAGAGAGGGAUAGCUUCUGGAAACGGAUGGUAAUACCUCAUAACAUAACGAAGCCGCAUGACUUUGUUAUCAAAGAUUUAUCACUCAGAGAUGGGCUCGCGUCUGAUUAGAUAGUUGGUGAGGUAACGGCUCACCAAGUCGACGAUCAGUAGCCGGACUGAGAGGUUGAACGGCCACAUUGGGACUGAGACACGGCCCAGACUCCUACGGGAGGCAGCAGUGGGGAAUAUUGCACAAUGGGGGAAACCCUGAUGCAGCGAUGCCGCGUGGAGGAAGAAGGUUUUCGGGUUGUAAACUUCCUGUCUUAAAGGACGAUAAAUG
rnacentral:rRNA from 1 species